CCUACGGGAGGCAGCAGUGAGGAAUAUUGGUCAAUGGACGAGAGUCUGAACCAGCCAAGUAGCGUGAAGGAUGACUGCCCUAUGGGUUGUAAACUUCUUUUAUAUGGGAAUAAAAUGUUCCACGUGUGGGAUUUUGUAUGUACCAUAUGAAUAAGGAUCGGCUAACUCCGUGCCAGCAGCCGCGGUAAUACGGAGGAUCCGAGCGUUAUCCGGAUUUAUUGGGUUUAAAGGGAGCGUAGGUGGAUUGUUAAGUCAGUUGUGAAAGUUUGCGGCUCAACCGUAAAAUUGCAGUUGAAACUGGCAGUCUUGAGUACAGUAGAGGUGGGCGGAAUUCGUGGUGUAGCGGUGAAAUGCUUAGAUAUAACGAAGAACUCCGAUUGCGAAGGCAGUUCACUGGACUGCAACUGACACUGAGGCUCGAAAGUGUGGGUAUCAAACAGGAUUAGAUACCCGCGUAGUC
rnacentral:rRNA from 1 species